AAUGGGUCAGCGACUUAUAUUCUGUAGCAAGGUUAACCGAAUAGGGGAGCCGAAGGGAAACCGAGUCUUAACUGGGCGUUAAGUUGCAGGGUAUAGACCCGAAACCCGGUGAUCUAGCCAUGGGCAGGUUGAAGGUUGGGUAACACUAACUGGAGGACCGAACCGACUAAUGUUGAAAAAUUAGCGGAUGACUUGUGGCUGGGGGUGAAAGGCCAAUCAAACCGGGAGAUAGCUGGUUCUCCCCGAAAGCUAUUUAGGUAGCGCCUCGUGAACUCAUCUCCGGGGGUAGAGCACUGUUUCGGCAAGGGGGUCAUCCCGACUUACCAACCCGAUGCAAACUGCGAAUACCGGAGAAUGUUAUCACGGGAGACACACGGCGGGUGCUAACGUCCGUCGUGAAGAGGGAAACAACCCAGACCGCCAGCUAAGGUCCCAAAGUCAUGGUUAAGUGGGAAACGAUGUGGGAAGGCCCAGACAGCCAGGAUGUUGGCUUAGAAGCAGCCAUCAUUUAAAGAAAGCGUAAUAGCUCACUGGUCGAGUCGGCCUGCGCGGAAGAUGUAACGGGGCUAAACCAUG
rnacentral:rRNA from 1 species